UUGUACAAUGGCUGUUUGGGAGGCACUUCUGCAGUUUUCCAGCACAGGAACAUUAUUGGGCAUUUUGCUGGUGCUUCUGGUUUUAUAUCUGCUUUCCAAUAGCUCCAAACCUCAGAAAGAAGGCAAAGACCCACCAGGACCCAAACCACUGCCACUGCUGGGAAACCUGCUGACACUUGACCUCGAAAGACCAUUUGACACCCUUUGUGAGCUGUCCAAGACCUACGGAAAUGUGUUUCAAGUGUUUUUAGGGCCCCAAAAGGUUGUGGUUCUAGCUGGGUACGAAACAGUUAAAGAAGCCCUUGUGCUUUAUGAACACCUUUAUGCAGAAGAGUUUGAGGAUUGAGAUAUUACACCUGGCUUCAGAAUACUUAACAACGAACAUGGGCCAGACAUCAAACCGGCGGAGCUCAUUUGAAUUAACACACCUAAUUUCAGUCAAAGUUUGACAACAUCAAAUAAGUAUGCUAUUUAUGUGCAGGCCAAUUCAGAAGAGACACACGGAGAACAACUGUGAAUUUCACUUUAACCUAUAAUAUUGUUUGGGAAAAGUGGGGAAAAUCCUGGGUUGCUCUGUAACAAUGGUUCAACUUAAAUGAAGCCGGUGGGUUAUAAAUAAACAGCA